rnacentral:rRNA from 1 species
AUUGAACGCUGGCGGCAUGCUUUACACAUGCAAGUCGAGCGGCAGCGCGGGGGCAACCCUGGCGGCGAGCGGCGGACGGGUGAGUAAUGCAUCGGAACGUAUCCCGUAGUGGGGGACAACCCAGCGAAAGCUGGGCUAAUACCGCAUAUGCUCUACGGAGGAAAGCAGGGGACUCGCAAGAGCCUUGUGCUAUGGGAGCGGCCGAUGUCCGAUUAGCUAGUUGGUGGGUAAAGGCUUACCAAGGCGACGAUCGGUAGCUGGUCUGAGAGGAUGAUCAGCCACACUGGGACUGAGACACGGCCCAGACUCCUACGGGAGGCAGCAGUGGGGAAUUUUGGACAAUGGGGGCAACCCUGAUCCAGCCAUGCCGCGUGCGGGAAGAAGGCCU